rnacentral:tRNA from 1 species
ACUUUCAAUGGAUAAUAGCUGUCCACUAAUCUUAGGAGUUAGCCCCCCU